GCUUUUUCAAUCUCAUCUUCCCAUAACUUUUUGGUCUUAUGCUAUUCUCCAUUCCUUUUUCCUCAUCAAUAGAUUGCCAUCUCCCAUUCUACAAGAUUAGUCACCUUUUGAAAUGCUUUAUCAUUCUUUACCUGAGUAUUCAGAUUUAAAGGUUUUUGGAUCUCUUUAACAACUACUAGGCUAGAUAUUACUUUUGCCAUUGAACAAUUGAGUCAGUUUCUAUCUAAGCUUACUAAUCUUCAUCAGCAAGCCUUACACAGGGUACUUAGAUAUAUUAAACUUUCUCCUGGCAAAAGGUCCUUUCUUUCCCUCUAGCUCUUCCACUCACCUCAAAGCUUUCAGUGAUUCAGAUUGGGCAGGGUGUAUGGAUACAAGAAGAUUAGUGAUUGGAUUCAGCGUCUAUCUUGAAGACUCUUUUAUCAGCUGGAAAUCUAAGAAACAGGCCAUUGUUUCUCAGUCUUCUUUAGAGGCAGAGCAUCGGGUUCUUGCUGCCACCACAUGCGAAUUGCAAUGGAUUGUAAAUUUGCUUCAUGAUUUUGGAAUUGCUCAUCCAAAGCUAGCAAGUGUGAUUUGUGAUAAUCGAUCUGCACUUCACAUUGCUGCCAAUCCUGCCUUUCACGAAAGAAUUAAGCACAUUGAACUUGAUUGUUCAUGAAAAGGUGUUAUCUAGCUUAAUUCAUUUGAUUCCUAUUACCUCCAAUGCUCAGUUGGCAGAUAUAUAUACCAAGGCUCUUGCUGUCUCUCCUUUUCAAGCCUUAGUGUUAUGUUUGGCAUACAUUCUCUAGCUCGCAGGGGG
rnacentral:misc_RNA from 1 species